CACGUAGGGUGCGAGCGUUGUCCGGAAUUAUUGGGCGUAAAGAGCUCGUAGGCGGUGUGUCGCGUCGGCCGUGAAAACCUGCAGCUUAACUGUGGGCUUGCGGUCGAUACGGGCAUCACUGGAGUUCGGCAGGGGAGACUGGAAUUCCUGGUGUAGCGGUGGAAAUGCGCAGAUAUCAGGAGGAACACCGGUGGCGAAGGCGGGUCUCUGGGCCGAUACUGACGCUGGAGG
rnacentral:rRNA from 1 species